rnacentral:lncRNA from 1 species
CUAAGAUCUUCUGGAAAAUUUCUGAAAUAUGCAUCAACCAUCAAUCGUUUUGUAAACAUAGACCCCUGCUAUUGAGAGUGUGUCAAGAAGCUCAAUUGAAUAAAGAGUUGGGUUGAACUCGUCUGUGUAGCUAAACCAGGUAAUCAUUGUCUAGUUAUUUCAUAUGUCUGGCCGUGAUCGUGAUUUACCUAAGCUGAUGGAUAAGGGCUCUCUCCGGCCUCUCCUACAGCUGUUAUUCGUUUUCUACUAGGCCAGAGAAACAAGUAUCAUACAGAACUCAAAGCAUCUGGUUGUCUUCCCACGCAAUUUGACUAUGCUAUUAAUCCAUCCCUCACCUCCAUAUUUUCUAUUUGGGCACCAAUUUUCUUCCAAUGGUUCUGAGGCUGGGCCUUAGUUUUGGUAGGUGAUGUUUCCUUCACGUGCUUCUACCCAGAUUAUUCCAACCAUACGAGGUCUGAAAUUUCGUUGCAUAAUGUUAUAUUGAGGUUGUUGCUCUCAUUUCAUGGAGUAACAGCUUUCCAAGGAUGGUAUUGUAAUUGGAGGGUUAUCUACUACCACGAGGUCAUUAAACAUUCACACUUGUUGUUUAGCAUCACCUAAUGUGAAUAUUAAUGAAUACUGGCCCUUUCCUUCCACUAUAUUUCCAGUGGAUCCCUGUAGAGGUUUAUCAAAUAGCUUCAGAUGUCAUUAUGCUAUCUACAUUCAGUCUGAAGUCCUUAGGCGUAGAAUAUUGACUGAACUUCAGUUAUAGACUAAGGUUUUGUGUCGUUUUCUCCCGCCAGUAUAUUAAUGCUUUCUCCAUAUAUUGAAUGGGCCAAUUUGUAUUAGAAAUACGUACAAGGUUAGGUUAUGC